rnacentral:rRNA from 1 species
CUAGUGAUUGGAAUGAUGGGAAUCCAAACCCCUGUUCAGAGUAACAAUUGGAGGGCAAGUCUGGUGCCAGCAGCCGCGGUAAUUCCAGCUCCAAUAGCGUAUAUUAAAGUUGUUGCAGUUAAAAAGCUCGUAGUUGGAUGUCUGUUGGAAGCAAUCAUCAGUCCGCCCUAUUUGAUUAGGGUGUGAAUAUGAUGAAUUCCGGCAUAAUUGUCUCCCUGUUAUUAAUAAGACGAUUAUUAUUAGAUUCAUUUCUAAUAAUAAUACGUCUAUAUUGAUAAUGUGGGAGAAAUGUUACUUUGAGAAAAUUAGAGUGUUUGAAGCAGGCUUUUGUUGCCUUGAAUACUGCAGCAUGGAAUAACAAUAUAGGAUUUCGGUUCUAUUUUGUUGGUUCUUUUUUUAGGACUGAAAUAAUGAUUAAUAGGGACAGUUGGGGGCAUUCGUAUUUAACUGUCAGAGGUGAAAUUCUUAGAUUUGUUAAAGCGAACUACUGCGAAAGCAUUUGCC